GCUGGCUGACCCUUUAAGGGGACUGAAUUUUGUGAGUUAUCUGGAGAGCUGUGCCAGGGAAGACUUGGUGAGAAGCAGAGGUGCUUGGGAUGAGGACCCCUUGCAACAUCAGAGCCUUCUACAAGUGGACUACAACACCAAGGGCUGCUGAAAGGUGUAGAUGUGAAUGUGAACUCAUGCUCUGUUACAUGGAGUGGAC